AGCCCCUCGUGUGGCGCUAUCUCUUUGAACCCCCCCAGGGCCGGAAGGCAGCAAGGGUAGGAGAGCUCUGGCGGGUACACGGGGGGUCCUU
rnacentral:SRP_RNA from 1 species